GUGGAGUGUUGGAGGUGAAGAAGUGCACGUUCAUCCUCUUUGCCUUUCUCGUGAGGACAGGUACGACGCGGUCACUCAGCACUGAACAUGUUGCCAGAUCUCCUUUUGGCAGCUGGAUGAGAAGGGAAUGCCACCACAAAGGAAGGAAGACUGAGGCGAGGUUCAAGUUGUAUUCAGAGGGAACACAAGUGCUGUGCAUUACACGUCACCACCACGACAGAACUGUGUUUGGGGAAAUCAAGAACUGAACAGAUCCUUUUUUAUUUCCACUCAUUUUCAGGGUGGUUCUUCCCAAACAAAGAUAAGCAGCCAGAAUACGUUCCUUGAAGAGUUGGGCCUAGCAAUAUGGCAGCGCACUUUCGAUAAGAAAUCUUGUAAAAUGCUGCUACUGAGGACCACGUGCUCCCUGACCCAUUGCCUUGACCGCUGCACAAUUAUUGCAGGGCCAGAGCUUUCUGAAUUCUGGGUGCUCCGAAAUUGCAGUCAGGAUCCAACAUAAAAGUUGUCCUGAUUUUUCAAAGAUGCCGAACCCCUGCGGCUACGCUUCUUGGUAGGAAUUUUGGGUGCUGAAAACCUUGGAAAAGCUGGACGCUUUUAAGCGUUCGAGCAGCGCAAUGUGUAACAUUCCUAAAAAGCACCAUGGCAACAUAUCAGUGUUAUUGCCUUCGCGGUCAGCAAUCAGAAGUCUCCAAAGGUAACAUGAAAAGCAUCCUGUAUUGUGUCUGUUAUUGAGAUGUGUGAGCAGGUUUCCCUUGCCGUUAGUCUUUGACUGGCUCAUUUAGUUCUAUGCCAGGAGUUAAACAAGGCUGUGCCCUGUAUGAGACCUGGCACGCUCAUUGUCUCUCAGGAAGCGUAGGAGGCUGGUGCUGAUGCUUCCAGAUAAAGCCUGUAAGGGUUUUUGUGAAAGUACCUAAAUCUACACAGUCCUCAGGAGAGCUGUUCUUAGGGAGUAUCUGUUAGUGAUUAUGGCCAGCUAAAAUGGCGAUUCGUAAGGUUUUUUUCCCAGGCUUGUACAGUUAAAUUAGGUGUUUCCAAGGCUGAUGCUCCUGGACACCUCCAGUAGAGGUGAUUUGCUUUUCCCUCACAGCAGUUUGGAUUCAGGAGCUGUGGAGCCACCCCAGAUUUUGUAGAGAAGCUGUGCGGAGAAUGGGCAUGUGGUGAGCCUGCCAUCCUGGGCAGAAGACCACAUUUCUCAUGUAUCUUACGUGUCUGAAAUGCAGGGAAUAUACCUGAUAUACCCAGCUGAUAUUGAUAUCUACAGUUUAAUUUGCCUAACUAUUUGAGGCUUAAAAAAACUUCUGAAACUCUGGUUUCGUUUAUCUAGUAAAGUUUAAACAUAAGUCAAGGUCUUCAUGGUGGCUUUGUUCAGGGUUCAGUGUCCCCUGGCUGCCUGGAUGAAGAUGGUGGCUCAUCAUUGCGCCUGAUCAGGGCCCCAAACAUGAGCUAUGUUGCAUCUUUUGACUGUAUAUAUGACUAAUUCUGGCAAGAGUUUUUGAGUUGCCAGAAAUAAGAGAGUCUGUUUGCUAGUGGGUAAACUUUCUAAGUUAGCAAGUAAAAGUUAGGGGUAGGCACAGGGUUCAUUUCAUUAGUCUAAUCAAAAAGUGUGACAAUGGUAACAAUAUGUCAAAGUAUCUAAAUAACGCAGAAAAAUGUUUUUCUGGUAAAAUGGCAUUUAAAAACUUUAAUAUCUGCAAAUCCUUGUUUACUGAAUGCAAAGAGAAGUUGUUGGUUUCUUGAGUGUUACCCAGUGCUCAACUGUUAGUUGUUCAAAGAGUGGAUUAGCGGGAUUUUAUUUCAUCUUGUUUUCAAGGAGGUUAUAGAUAUCACUGCCAUGGUUUUAAUUCCGUGAUUCCUUAGGACAAGGCAAGUAUCAGGGCUAACACAACGCUGCUUCUGUGUUUCUUGAAGGUAAAGGCAUUAAAUGCAGGUAGUUAAAAAAGAGGGGUCUUUUUGGCACAUUUUAGGUAGUACCUUAUUUCCCCCCCACACCAUCUUUUUGCAGAUUUAAGUGCAAAUUUUCAGCUGUAAAUCCACAAGCUGCAUUGACUCACAGCCAGUGCUGAGCUGGUCCAUAAGGGUUGAUUCUGCUCCCCCCCCCGUUUGGUACUUCUCUAGGAAUAGCUUUACAAAUGGGUGGUAAUAAGUCCCUAAUAAGAACAUUCUCAUCUCUUUUUUGGUGGUAGGAUUUCAGAUCUGCUUUGCACAGAUAUAAGGGAUCUUCAUAAGGUUCAAAAAUAGUGGAUAUUUGUACUAACACACACAUUUGUGGCUAUCAAACUUAACUUUAUGUUUAGUGUGUUAAUCAUAUAUGUAAAUCAAAUGAUCUAUUUUUCUCCAGAGAACAAGGAAUACUAAUUAGAAAGGAGAAUGGUCAGUGGUACAUUGAAGUUAACAAUAAACGCAAUUCAAUGUGCAUAUUUUUCUUCUGAACAAAAUAGCAUUCCAGCUCUCCCCCUGAUGAGAGGAAUGUAUUGUCAAUUAAUUAGACUUCCAUCAUAUGUCCUCGGAUGCCCUUCUAUCAUAUGCCUUCCAUAUGUCCUUAUGUCAUAUGCCUUCCAUAUGCCCUCUAUGUAAUUAAGCUUCUAUCAUAUGGCUUCUAUCAUAUGCCAUUUAAAUAGAUUUCCAGGAGAAUAUGGCAGUGUUACAAUUACGGACCUUUUGCAAUGAGUAAAGGAACAACUCAUGAGCUGUAGAUUAAAAAAGGAGGAAGCAAAAGGAAGGUGGCUCGCCCUGAAGAGUUCCUUUAAUUGCCAGUUUUGUUUCUCUCAGCUUGGGCAAUGAACGGAUAAAAGUGUCCUAUUUUCCUUGUUUCCCAUUACUGUUCCAUUCCCAGUUUUUAUUCAGUUAAGCCUGUGAAUAGUCGGAGAGAUAGCAACUGUUUUUUCAGAGAACGUUUCCACUGGAAUGUAAAAUGAAAAAGAAACAAUCCACCUCCCAGAAAAUUGUUUGUCCUACGAUAAUGAAAUGUAAACUUUGAUCUUGUUUUUGUCCCUUUAAGUCUGUAACGUAGAGUGAAGCACUAGAAUUAUCGUGGGGAGAGAAUUAAUGAACAUGAGAUGGUUUGCUUUACUUCAGCACGCAUCCCUGUUCUCCCUUAUGGACAAUGGGCGCAGAUAGUAUUGUGCUUUUCUUGGCAUGAUGAUUGCUUGGUAGAUAGUAUCCUAAUGUACAAGAAUAUGUGGUGAAAUAGAUUCCAAAUUUACUGUGACUUAUUAAGGAUAAAGCCCAAAAAUAGGCACUGAUGCUUAUAUACGUAAUGAAGAAAACUGCAAGCAUCCGAGGAAUGAUGAGGUCUUGGAAUGGUUUGCAAUGAAAAGACAGCCAGUGUGCUUGUUUGCCUUAUGUACAUUUGGGUAUCUCUGCCUUCUUUCUUCCCAGCAACUUCUGAGACCCCUUUUUUCUAAUCCCAGUCAGAUUUGAUAGAGGAGCGGUGAUGUCCGAGGCUAUUCUGCUCUAGCAAGCUUUACAGAAAUUACAGAAAUCACAGCCAUAUACCCAGCAGUCAGGAAGAAGGUUGAAAGGACAAAGAGAAGGUAAAAUAGAGUCCUAUGUGCUGAGGUGUCCAAACUAUGAAAUGGAGAGCAGUUUGUAGCGUCUGCCAGUUUACCUGGAUUAACUGGAUUGAAUGAAGUAAUGAGAACAGUUCAGACAGAUUCCCACUGGCUAGUAACCAGCGUGUCCCUGAGGACUUUGCACUCUAGUUGCUAGAGCAUGCUAAAACCCAUACCACCGUGACUUCACUGCCAGUUUUAUGUGCUCUGCCUAGAUUAAGGUAGAAUUUACCAAACAAUGGGCCUAUAUUUUGCUAUGUAGGCAUACUGCUAGCCACUGUUUGUGUUACAGAUGCAUUCCCAAAAGAUAGGUGACAGGUCUUAUUUUGGCUUUAUCUUUUUAUUUUCAACACAAUUUUCAUUUAAAACAUGCACACACACACACAAUAUAACCAGUCCAUCUGGAAGCUCUAGGUCAUGAGGGAAGUUAUUUUGAAAAAUUCUUGUUGUGGUCCUGCACCAUCAUUAGUUUGCUGGUGCCACAGUCGUAAACUGCACACUAAGGGAAGCCUUUAAGCCUCUUGUAGUGUACCACUGAAAUUAUCUGUCAAGAAUCACUACUAAAGUGUUGUAUUCAGAAAUCUGUUUUUUUUCUGGUGUGCUGGGCAGCAAGAAAAUACUUGCAAUAGCGCACUAUUGCAAAUUUUUCUUCUGCUUCUGUGUUUUCACAUGGCUGUGGGACUUGUGGAAGAUGGCAGCCUAACAGUCCUGAAGGAGGAGGAGCUCUGCUUAUCCACAAAGUCGGUACCCAACCACUUGUGACCUCCUAAGCUGAAACUCAGAAACUUUCACCGUUAGAGGGAUUUUUAUUUUUUUUAAUGAAACGAUGCCUUUCAUCUAUUUCCACACCCAACUGAAACUAUGCUGCAACACUUCGGCUGCUAAAUCAGAUGCGUUAAGUACAGUCAAAUUUGUACAUAAAAGUUUUGUAAGAACUGGGAUGAAAUAGAACGGAAUGCCAGAAUGACUCAUUGUUUAAUGAAUAAGGCCCUAAGUGUUCUAUUGAUGCCAUUUAUAAAUCUGUAUAAAAUGUAUAGAAUUCAUGUCAUAACUGGAAUUCCAAGCACAGCAACCUUGCGAGCUAAAUUAUGAUGAUGAUAGGGUACUGCACGAAUUAAUAUGAAUUCUAACACACUUCUGCUUGAAAGCUGCUCAGACAGUUAAAAAUAAGACAAUUCCAUUACACAGAUUCAAAGCCCAGACCUCAGAAAUGCUGCUACUCUUUCCUUUUGAAAUUGUAAAUUACUGAAGAAGGAAGUUCUUUUUGUGUGUGUUAGAGUCAAAAACUAUAACCUAUAAGGGAAACAGAUGUCCUUUCAAUUAGAUGUAGAUACUGCACAGUGCAAUAGGAAAAUAAAAGAAUUAGCUGGUAUAGACCAGCUCAAUAUUUGGAACUCUUCUAUUGGAAAUGAGCAGUCUGAGGCCAGAGCAGAGAUCUGAACACACAUCUCUUUUUGACUAACUUUUUCCUUCUCGUUCUUACUUUUCCCUUUUCAUAGCUUGGUGGCUCAGAUAUGAAACCAGGUGAAGUUCAACAUUUCCAGCGUGAGUUUUGGAGAUAUGUUCUAUAUCCGUUCAGACUUCAGUCCGAGACAAACUGUGGUGUUGGGCUACCAAGAUUUAACCUUGCGAUAAAAGCUUCCAGUCUAAACUGGAGCAGAAAGGAAAUCUGACAUUUGGAAAUUUCACAUAGCAGACGAAGAUCCAAAAUAUUUCAUUUGGUAACACCCCCCCUUUUUUUUUCCUUUCUUUUUUAAACAAGACAAAACUUCUAGUUGCCCUAUCUCCACUGAUGCUCCAGGCAGCCCCAGUUGCAUAUAUUUAGAUUUAUAUAUUCAAAACAUGAAAUGUACUCUCCCUGAGCAAAUAAUUUUUUACAUGCAAUAGGGUGAAAUUAGCCUCUUUGUGCAAUGUCAUGGCCCUGUUUCUUGGUUAAAUAAGUUCAAGAAUCAGGUUUCUGGGGCAGAUAGAGAAAGAAAUUGAAAUUCUGCAUUCCGUGUUAUAUGCAGUGGCUCCUCCUUCCCACCACCUCUCCCUGCUUCCUUCUCACAUUCGUAGAAUUUCCGCUCCAGUUAGGUGAUCCAAGAUUGUCUGAGGUGUACUCCAAAUGAAAUGCCACUGGCUAGAAAUAUUCCAGGCAAUUAUUUUCUUAAAAAGUAGGAGGGAGCUGCUGCUGCUAUGGAUGAAGUCACUUACCUACAGGGAAAGAGCUGUCAGCCCGUGGGUGGGGACCUUACCGCUGGCUGCAGGAUACCUGCUGGAGCUGCUCCCUGGCUCCUACCACCCGCCUUUCGAUGUACAACCACUUUUUCUUUUUUAAGAAAAAGUCCCCCCGCACUCAAGACCCCUUCUAAGAGUGCUGUUUAAGAGCAGUGUAGGUAUAGCCAAUAUAGAGUCUUUGAUUUCUGUUUUCAUCUAUGUUCUUGUAGGUUCCCGCGUUCAGGUAGCCAGACUACUGCGUUGUGCCACAGAGGAGCAAAUGUUGUGGUGCAGGGUUCUCCCUGGCCCCUCUCGGGUCAUGGAGGAUAAGUCCGCUUCAAGUGUGAGUCACCCUGCUGCCAUUUUUCCCUACACCCUUUGCCAAGGUCUGAUGACAAGACUGUGAUUUCUUUAAGCUUGUCUUUGUUACAGGUGUGACACACAGCUCAUAGGGUUUCAUUAUGGCUUUCAUAAUGUAUUAACGAAAUGUCAGGAUCAAGUCAUUUAUAAUUAACACUGACAUGUAAAUGUCAUGUCUAACAAUUGUAGUGUAAGAGUAUUUUUGUGAAUGGGCCAUUUUUUACACAUGCAACUCUCACUGUCCAAGAAAGCCAUAACCAGUCAGGCAAAGACAGAUAUUUUUUUGGUCUUUUGUUUACUCCUCAUUGAAUUCUUGAUAGGCAACUAGACCUUGUUGCCUGUUGUUCCUAGAUCCAUUGCAGAUAUAAAACUCAAGCCAUGAAUGGAGACUUUAUGAACAUUUUAGGGCUUGAUCCUAUUAUAAAUGUGGAGUGGAUAAACCCCUGCACAAUACUGAUGUGGAAUUCACAUAAGCACUGCCUGUAGUUUGGGGAGCAAAGACAGUAAGGUGUGCAGUGUAGGAGCUGUAUUAGCAAAUCUGAGGAGAGAAGAGUGGCUCAAGAAGUUGCCAGCAAAAAUUGUCCCAAGCAGGGAGAUAUCUGAAAUUGAUAUACUGGAACCAUUUCCGUUAGAAAGGAAAAACACACCGAUGUUAUAAUGAAAAAAAAGAAAGAAUGAGGAGGUAGACUGAGAAAUUCUCAUACUUUCACAAAGUGAAUACAAGGAGACAUGCAGUGAAAUUAAAUGGUGACAAAUUGAAAAUGUUUUAAAAAGCAAUUCUUUCCCACCAGUAUUUAAUUAAAAAAUGAACGUGAUUGCUUUUAGAAAUUAAUGGGAAGUUUGCAAGUCUAGAACAGAUUAGAUACUUAUGUUUUUAAUAACCAUACAUAGAAUUAUGGUAAUUCAUUAUAAUAACUUUAGAACGGAGUUUAGACUUCAUUUUUCAAGGUUUAGGGUGAAGUCUUUCAAGACAGCAAUUCAUGACCAGGGAAGAACCAGUGGGAAGGACAGCUCCUGGUUGUCUAAAGCUGCUAAUAUUUGUCGCUAUUGGAGAAGGUAUGUUAGAGAACUCUGGAUUCUGACCCAGUCUCUAUCUGGCUCCUGCAAAGGAUUGAGCACAGAAUUUGCCACGGAUAAAUAGAAGUGAAGGGUUGGUAGAUGUUUGGCCUUCAGUUGGGCUCGCAUAUUGAGUACCUGCAGCACAGUGGUAUUAAUUACCCAAUGGCACGGUCCAACUCCAGUUCCUUGCAGUUACCGUGUGCGGGGGGGCAGGGCUGCAUGACCACUGUCCGGAAGGGAAGGCAGAGGAAGGCGAAUGGCUUGUCCAAGGCCAGGCAGCACGUCACUGGAGGGGCUGUGUACAAAAGUCAGGUCAGUUGGAUUGCAGAUCUGGAUUCAAACAUAUGUUGUGACCUUUUUCUUCCUCAUUAAAUAUGUUUUUUGGAACCCCGGUGUUACCAGACGUAAUAAAAGCUUCAGAAACAGUGGGGAGGGAGGGUUACACCUGGUUCUGCUUUCACACCCGCUUUUCAGUAUGAAAGUAGAGCAGGUCUUCACCAUGCGAGAGUGUGUCAUACAGAUACUCUCAAGCUAUCAGUGCCUGCUGUGGGAUGUGAGGGGCUGAGGUGUGAUGCUGCACUAGCGACAGCCCAAAGGGCCUGAGCUGGCACUUCCAUGCAGUGCUGGCUGGAGAUCUGUGGUUGCAGCAGCUCAGGUUGGUGCGAGAUUUGGGGUCACUACAGUCAGUCCCCUGAAGAGUGUAGGCAGACCCUUUGUAUUCCUUAGCUUAAGUGAUAUUUAAGGAAUUGUUGUAAAUGGCGGGUCAAACCCAUUCCGGGACUAAUGCCACUGAUGUGGGUUUAUUUUAAAAGUUUAUAUUUCUUGUGUUUGAAGUGGCGUCUCAUCUCUUCUGACAAGGAAUAGCAGUUGUGGCAUCAGAGAGUGGUUUGCAAUAGUGGUGUUUGCAGUCUGUCAGAUGCCACAGCUUCCCUUUGGCUUUCCAUUUCCUUUCAUAAAUGAGGUUGUUAGAUCUGGAGGACAGGAUUUUAAAAAAAGAAUGAGGAAGAGAAAGAAAACCAGGAAGGAAAUGGGAAGGGAAGAAGGCAAGAUAGGACUGCUCUCUGCUACAGGUCUUGUGGUUAGAGAUGGUUUUGGAAAUUGCCCUUCCAAUAGCUUUUGAAAUGUGAAAGGAGAACUUAUUUUACAAGAGCCUUAAGAUAUUUCAGUCACGUGUUUCCCUUCAUUUGUAUGUGAGAAUAGUUAUUGCAUGAGAAGUUAAACACUGUAGUGGAAAAAGUAAAAUCAGUGUCCACUGCUUACUGUGUUAGUGAUGUAAUUUGACUGCUGAACCAUGUCUGUUUGUAGGGUUCCAGGAUAGAAGUCACUGGUCAGCCACCUAUAACCGUGGUGCUGUAAUAAAUCCAUAAGGCCCCUGCGUUGGUUGCUGCAUUUCAUAAAGUGACUACUUGGAACUUGGUGUCAGAAUUAACGAACUGAAGUCUCUUCCUUCUUCAGUAAAAGAGGAAGAUAUCCAUACUCUGCUGGUGGAAUUGCUAGUGCAAGGGGUUCUACGAUGCUCUGUUUUAUUUAUAUUUCAAUAGAGGGGCAAUUUUUAAUUGCAAAAUACGUAUCCACAAUCUCAUUUCAUGGUGCAUACACCAUCUCAGGAGGUAUGCGCACCAGCUCACUGCUGUGUAUUUUAGAAGUGAGGAUCUCUGUCUUGGUGCUAACAUUUAUGUGUAUAUAUUUAUCUAUAUCUUGGUGCUAACAUGUAUAUGUAUAUAUUUGUAUAUAUGUUUGUCAGAUGCCUGCAAAGCAGCAAGUUGCAAACCAACAGUGACUAAUGAGUUGAAGAGCCAGAAAAGGUUAUCUGGAGCAAAGAGAAGUGUGUGAUAACUUCUUGGACUAAGAGGAUGCAAGGUGAAAGCCUGUGUGCAGUGAGUCAGUCCUGCACCAAACCUGAGCCAAGAGGUUCCGAGGGACGCGUAGGAACGGUCCAGUGGGGCCACGAGUGCAGGGCUGUGGGAGUGCGCAGUUCUGUCAGCUUUCAGGAACAAGGAACUCUCAAUCCAUAUUGAAGUCAAGGGUUAAACGUUUCAUCCAUAAAUUAGUGCUAGGAAUUAAGAAAGACUACUUGACAUCUGAAAUCGCAGGGAGGCUUUUUCCGUGUAAUAAAAAAGCCUCUUCAAAUUAUUUAAAGCAUGCUUCUCUUGCAUUUUAAAACUGGGGGAAGCUGUGCAAGUGAGAUGGGCCAGUUUUUGGUCUUGGUUAGUGAUAACUUAGUUCAUGCAAAGGACAGCAGGAUUUGUCUCUUUUUCCUGCCGUGGCUUUAAAAGGAGUUAGAUCCUGGUUUAGGUUGCAAAGAAAAUGCUUCCAGUUGCCAUUUGCAUGAAUCCUACUCUGAAUCUCAGGUAUAAAAUCAGGUCAUUUGGUCAUCUUGAAGCCUGUAAGUUAGCUUACCGACAAGCUCUAGGCAGUGGGACUCAAGCAUAUCUUCAACAUCAUUGCUCGAGCAGUGCCUUGAGACCCAUAGAGGCAGUGAAUUCACAUUUGUGUUUGCUCCUUGGAUGACACAGGCCUGAAACCUCAACGCUGAUUUGCUAGUGUAACAAUGAGGACAAAACGAACCUCUCCUUUGCCUGGGUGUCUGGGGGCGGUUCAAAAACUCCAAACAGCGUGGAAUUCACUUGGGAAGCUCAAAGUUUGUAAAGCAGCUCCCUUACUUGUUGCGAAGCCCUUGGUCUGCCUCACGCUACAUUGCAUUACAUGUUAACGCAGGCUUUACAUUAUAUAUUAACGCAGAUUUGUCCUCAGAUACCCUACUGUGGAGAAGGCCAUUUUAAAAUCUUUAAUAGGGCAUUAGAGCAAUUUGCCUGUGAUUUAGUUUUAAGUGGGCAAGGAGAGUGGUGACAAACGAAGCUGGGAGGCCCUAAAAUUCUUUGAAUAUUCCAUGUUUUCCUGGAACUGUUGGGAAAAGGCUGCCAGAAAGGUCUUGGCAGGUUUUCUAGGUGGCUGGCCAAGUCUGAAGCAAAUGUGGAUAGUUAAUAGGCUAAUGCAGCUCUGGUUCCAAGUCCGUACGUAUAUAACAUACGUUUUUAUUUAAGAAAUCCCACUGCAUGGAGGAGCAAAUGUAGUGCUAAUAUAUCUUCCUGAAAGAAAACAGCAAGGGAAAAAACACUGUCAUCUUGUAAUGAUAAAAUAAGGGAUCUUUUGCCCUUACUUUUUAGGGACUUGAAUUGUCAGUUGAAGAAGAGACGACAUAGGAAAUUAAAUCAGUAGACAGGCAGUGGCUUUCCCAUGAGGGCCCCAUAUUAAUCAGGAAUGGCUUAUAUAGCAAUAGUUUGCAUCUAAGAAAAAAGGCAGAAGUUGCUCAAAGAAUGGAUUUCCGUUGCUGGAUUGACUUUUUGUUGUUUCCAUGCAAGCAAUUAAAAAGGGCAAUUAAGCAGGAAAGUGAUCAAAUAAUGACUCGGGACCUGCUGCUGUAGUUGGUUCCAUGUGGACAGCCAGUUCCAGCAUGAGGCCACCUUUGUGGGUCAAAUUGUAGGAAUUAAGUGCUGCUAUUGAAUCAUCCCAGCUAUAGCCUGGUUGGGGAGGGGUUUCUCUGUGCACCGAGGUCAGAACCGUGGUUCUCUGUGGUCACAGGCACCCAGGGAAUAGGUGUUUACUGUCGUGACUGGCAGGAGUUGUUCCUGGGAAACACGAGUUCAGAUUUCUCUGAGAUGCCAGGUAAAUAACCUUUGUAAUUUUAAAAUUGUCUCCACUGUGAGGGAUUCUUGUUUGUAUUCAGCUCAUGGGGCCUGUCUUGUUUUAUUAUUAAUGGGGUGAAGACUGUGCACAGCCUGUACUGUUACAGUGGAACAAUUUUUUUUUUUUUGAUUAAGACGUUGGUGCAGACCCUGAAGUUCUGCUACAGACUCCCUAUGGCAUCUUGGAUGAGUCACUUAUUUUUUUGGGGGUUUAUUCACUGUCUAUAAAGUAGAGGUCCGUGUUCCUCCUAAGGAGGAUUGUAAAGAGGAACUGAUCAUAUGUGAAUUGUUCAGAGACAGUCAUGUUGUAUGUCAUAUUGGAAUUGCAAGUGAGCAUGCUGUAUAUCUCUAUGAAGAAAUGUUUCCUAUGGCCUAUCUCCAUGCUGACAUAGACAUUCAUUAGCUGCACAGAGUUAAAAUUGACAAUAUUUGUAGUCUAAUACUACUUUUAUACAAACAAAAUCAACUUGAAAAGGUUAUUAUGACACUUCAAAAAUUCUAAUUAAAAGAUGUGAUUUAUUAUUGUAGUAAGUAAUCUGAUAUUCAGAUUGUCUUGUUUGUUUUCAUUUUGUAUCUCAUAAAAAUGUCUUUUUUUUUUUUACAUAAAAAGACUUUACACUGUCUUUUUGCAUUAUGAAAGCAACUAAAUUUAAGUUUAGGGUGUACUAGAGGCUGCACCGCAACGUUAAGUGAUGCAGAAGUGAGGACUGGCACCAGGACUGGGGAGACUGGCUGCUGCGCUUGCGUCCCGCUGCUAUUUCUGGCAUGCAGAGCCUGAGCGGUGCCUGACGGGCCAAACGGUAUCAGAUGAGGAUAACAAAAGUAAUCUGGACAUAGCAGCUUCCUUCCAAGGACCUCAAAACACUCCAAGGACAUGGGCGGCUGUACUUAAUAGUGUACAUCCUUCCUCCGUGGAACUCUCCAGGUUGUGACUAAGGUUACUGAUGUGCCAGGGGAGCCUCUCCUGCACCCCCAGAUGUGAUCAUGAAAGAAUAUGUUACUUCUGUGAGCAAGUCAUGCAUUUUUUCCUCGCUUGUUUUUGUGUUGUUCACCCAAUGCUCUGGCAACUGCAUUUGAUACAUGAGGGCAUGACAACCAAUUAAAAAAAAAAGAAAGAUAUUUUUCAAGAUGAAAGACGAGUCUUUGAUUUUCAUGGUAGUCAAAGUGACUGUGGAAGGCUGAGGCUACUGCAAUUGUUUUUAUUUAACACCUCUUCCCACAGGGUGGUCAAUGAAUGUCUAAUCUCCUGGACUGAAAUGUCUGGCACUUACAGAAUCAUUUAUUUGCUGGCCCUUGUACCUGUGUCGUGCUCACAGAGCUCCACCUACAGCAGUGUCUUAACAGUGGGCUGAUGGUGCAGUGGGUAUAAAUGGUGUGUUCUCUAAGGAGUGGAGGGGGGGAUAAAAGGAUGAACACAGGUUUUCUGUGCAAUGUGUGCUUCUGCUGUCCUUUAAGUAAGGGGUAGUCUCCAGCAGCAACUGUUGAAGGAUGGCUCGGGCUUCCGAGAUACAAAGUGUAGAUUUGCUCUGGCAGAAUUUAUUUCUUGCUGCCGACUCUCAGAGCGUGGCUACUCAUGUCAAACAGCCAACGUGCUGACCGCAACUUGGUGCUAUUUGCUGUUGUAUACGUACCUUUGGAAGAUGGGUGCCCUUUGGUGUCCUAUAUGGCAAAGAGGAGGAUAAGUCAGCUCCUGAGAGAAGUCUCCAAACAGCUCCCUCUGGCUACUACAAGAAGCUGAACCGAUGGCUUCUGUUCCCUGGAAGCUGUGUCUGAUGAUCGCAGGCCAUUAUAUACUUCUCACUUGACUGCCCUGCUGGUAACUCCACUUUUAAGAUGAAUAUUUUAAGAUGAAUUAUGCAAGAAAUGCUGUGAAGCAUCAGACCCGAGGACCGGGGGAAGAGUCCUCGCUCGGUCUAUGGACUCAUUUCUGGAUAAAGUCUGAGACUCACCUGGAUUCCAGCUUCUCCGGAAAGGACAAAAAGUGGAAAGGAUCAAAAAAAAAAACAAUUGGUGGACUUUGGUUUUCCUGUGCAUGCGUGCUUGUAUCAUGUCUGAACUUGCAAAGAGUAUACUUGGUUAUUCACAAGGAAUCCAGUAAAUGGCGAAUCUGUAAAUCA